rnacentral:rRNA from 1 species
UACGUAGGGUGCAAGCGUUAAUCGGAAUUACUGGGCGUAAAGCGUGCGCAGGCGGCUAUGCAAGACAGAUGUGAAAUCCCCGGGCUCAACCUGGGAACUGCAUUUGUGACUGCAUGGCUAGAGUACGGUAGAGGGGGAUGGAAUUCCGCGUGUAGCAGUGAAAUGCGUAGAUAUGCGGAGGAACACCGAUGGCGAAGGCAAUCCCCUGGACCUGUACUGACGCUGAGGAGCGAAAGCAUGGGUAGCAAACAGG